rnacentral:rRNA from 1 species
GUGCCAGCAGCGGCGGUAAUACGUAGGUGGCAAGCGUUGUCCGGAUUUAUUGGGCGUAAAGGGAACGCAGGCGGUCUUUUAAGUCUGAUGUGAAAGCCUUCGGCUUAACCGAAGUCGUGCAUUGGAAACUGGGAGACUUGAGUGCAGAAGAAGAGAGUGGAACUCCAUGUGUAGCGGUGAAAUGCGUAGAUAUAUGGAAGAACACCAGUGGCGAAAGCGGCUCUCUGGUCUGUAACUGACGCUGAGGUUCGAAAGCGUGGUAGCAAACAGGAUUAGAUACCCUGGUAGUCCACGCCGUAAACGAUGAAUGCUAAGUGUGAGGUUCCGCCUUCAGUGCCGCAGCAACGCAUUAAGCAUUCCGCC